rnacentral:sRNA from 1 species
UGUACUACAAGGCCCGGUUGGAGAUGC